GGGGGAAGAGGAGGAGGAGGAGGAGGAGGGAGAGAGGGAGGGGCCGCCCCGCUGCUGAAUAAUUCAGCGCCGGCAGCGCGGGAAGCUCCGCACCGGCACCGAGCCCGCGCCGAGCCGAGCUCCGCGAUUUUCCCGGAAUUCCGGAGGCUCUGGAAUAAUCCCGGGGGGGGCUGGGAAGGUCAGGCCGGGGCUCCCGGGAUCCUCCUUCCCGCCGGCGCCGCGCUCAUCCCUAUUUUUAGAGCGCUGAGAGGAUCAGCGGGAAUCAAGGAUCCCGUGGCCUCCGCUCGCCGCGGGCGCCGGGGCAGGAGCCCGGAGCUGGACGGGCCCGGAGAGUCCGAGGAAGCACCGGAAUUCCGGGAUACCCAUUGUGGGAGAGCCAUCUCCUUCCCACGUCCGGUUCCCAGCGGCCGGAAUUCCAAAAUUCUGGAAUUCCCAAGAAUUCACUCACCCAACCAAUCCCGGCUUGGAAUUUCACGGGAUCGGAUCCCGACCAGAGGUCUGUGAUCCCCGAUCCCAUAAAUCCACAUUUCCAGGGAUGGUGGGAAUUAAAUCCGAAUUUCCCAAAAUUGUGGGAAAUAAAUCUGAAUUUCCCAAAAUUGUGGGAAGUAAGUCUGAAAUUUUUUGGGAUUGUGGGAAGUAAAUCUGAAUUUUGCAGGG
rnacentral:lncRNA from 14 species